AAUAAUAACAGGUAUCUUAUCAGGUUGUGGUAAGAUCAAAUAACAUUAAUUAAAGCAUUUAGAAUAAUGCUUGGCACAUAGUAAGAAUUUAAUAAAAGUUAAUUAUUAUUUAUCUUUUUCCUACCAGGUGCAACAGAAUAUCUCUCCUCUCCUCUCCACUCCUCUCGUCCUCCUCCUCCUCCUCCUCCUCCUCCUCCUCCCCCUCCCUUCCUCCCUCUUUCUCCUCUCAGCUAAUUUCAAUACCACGGAAAUCUUGUCUUCAGUUUUACAGCCUGAGAACAUGAUUUCUAGCAAGGGUCUGGCAUCAUCUGUGUACUUGCACACCAGGUGUGUCAUCAGCGUGGCAGUGAUAACAGCACCUUGGGAAAUACAAUAAAGAAACUUUGCCAUUUGGGCCACUUCCAGGAAAGUUUCAGAGGCAUAAGAGAAAGAACUAAAACUACAAAGGCAUUAAAAGAAGAUUAACUUAUAAAGAAGCCAGAGUAACCAGCUUUCUUAUUUAUAAUUAUCCAAAACAUUAAACUCACACUACUAAGGAUAUAGGGUUUGAAGGCUUGCUGAGAAUCUUAGAACAAUGAAAUGAGGAAAAGAGUUCACUCUCAUCAAGCUUAUAGCCAAUGAGGAAACGAUCCAAUUAUGAUUGUAUUUGCUGUGUGGACAUUAUUAGAGCCCAGGGGAAGAGUGAUGCCCUCGGGAUGGGAAGGCCUCGGUUGGCGUGGACCUUCAGCCCAGCUCUGGAAGGGCAAGUAGAGAAGAGAGAAAGGCUGUCCUCACAGAGGACACAGCAAGUGCAAAAGCAAACUGCUACAGAUAAUCUACACACUGCCACCUGCACCAAGUCCCUCUGCAGGAAUCUUGCAGGGACACCACACUGCUUUUGACAAAAGGCAACAGUGGCUCUCAGCAGCGUCCUUCUUCCAUCGCAACAAAAAAACUAUGGUUAGGUCAUGAUAAAAAUGGUAGUGCUGUUUGGGAGAAGUCCACUGUAUCCUCCCUUAAUGAGUUCAGAGGUUCUGCCAUGCCAUUUGUCUUCUGAGCAAGUUUUUAUGAAGGCUGUCAGUAAAGAGCAAAGAUGGGGAUAAGCAUUAUAUUCUCAAGUCGGCGGGAGGCGAGAAUCUGUUCAUUCAGAAUCGGCAGGGGUCCGUGGGAAAAUGUCCAUUCUUUAAGCAUUCCUGCGAAGGACACCAUUCAAAGGAAGGAGUGAGUUUGUAAGAAGCUAAGAAAGUCUUCCCAGACAGAGAAUCAAAUAAAGGAUCGCAGACAUUCUAAUUUAAGCUUGAUCUUAAGUUCGACCACUCCCCAUAACCUGAUUCAGAGACAGAAUGAUGGAUCUGAUGCUACACAGAAAGUCAUGUGUGUGGGUAAUUAAGUCGACAGUCACGUUCUCAAAAUAAUCCCCACUCAAGCUGUAACAUGGGAAUUUCAUGUGCAGCUGGGAACAAGUUACUUGGAAAUUCUAGCUAAUGAUGCCCAAAGAGUUUCUGCAAGUGUUAAAUGAGAUAAUGUAUGUUAUUGUAUAGAUCCAAGAACACUUGCUUUUUUCCUAAACAGAACAUGUGCCUAUGAGAGGUGCAAAUUUUUAUUAAAUCUAAAUAUUACAAAGGAAUUAUAAAUGUUUUAUAUCAAUAUAUUUUAGCUUGUGAACUGUCCAUAAUACAAUGUAGCCUGUUACUUAUGAUCACACAGAAAGCAGUCAAUUUUGUUCCCUUUCUUAGUUUAUCUUCCUUCUAGCUGGCCUUGCAAGCCCAAGGUCCCAAGUUUGAUCCCCGGUACAAAAAAAAAAGAUACAAGUGCUAGCAUGAUUGCCAAAUCUUAUUUUAUAGUGUAUGGUUUAAAAAUAUAUUUUGCCAGCUCAGCUCUUCAACAUGGAUGGAAAACCAAAAGUUUUAUCUACAAAAGCCUUGUACUUAAAACCUAUCCUGUUCUUUAUUUUAGGACUGUUUGGAUAAACUAUUUGUAUAAUUAAAAGCAUAGUUACAAUUUGAGGGAUAUGUUUAAUUUUAAUCUUCAUUUUUCAAUUUAUGAAUUAAAGCAUUAGAAAAUAAUAUUAUAUCAUAGUUUGAUAAUCUAUUAGAAUUCUAUUAUUUGACUAGUGGAAAUCUGAGGCUUGUAGAAGUCAAGCAACUUAACCAAAUAGCAGUGGUUGCCAAGUAUAAUAGUUUAAAUUUUUUCUUCUCAGAAUUGCAAUAACUGUAAGUAAUACAGCCAUGAUAACUACUAAAAAUAAAUAAUAAAACUAAACUUUGGUAUGUAAUAACCCUGAAUUUUUUCUCCUGCCUGGUUCUUCAUAUCUAAGGACUAACAUCAGCUAAUUUAAACAUUGCAAAUAACAUUAAUUGCCUUGUUUCUCCUUAACUAAAUAACCAACAUCAUUUCUAUAAUGCAUGGAAAAUGUUCUCUAGUACUUUAAAAGUUAGAAUAUUACUCAAGCUCCAUUGUUUUAGGUAUUGCAAGUAUUGGAUGCAGAAUCACACCUGGGUUUAGUAAAUUUCACGUAUUUCUUGAUAUCCAAUUACUGUAUUCCUUAAAUGUUUGUCUGUGUUGUCUUGUUCAUUGUAGCUACCGAAUAUAUAGUUCAAGAUGAUGUAAAAUCA
rnacentral:lncRNA from 1 species